rnacentral:piRNA from 1 species
UGGAAGUGCUCGUGUCCCAAGGGCUUC